rnacentral:rRNA from 1 species
AUUGAACGCUGGCGGCAGGCCUAACACAUGCAAGUCGAACGGUAACAGGAAGAAGCUUGCUUCUUUGCUGACGAGUGGCGGACGGGUGAGUAAUGUCUGGGAAACUGCCUGAUGGAGGGGGAUAACUACUGGAAACGGUAGCUAAUACCGCAUAACGUCGCAAGACCAAAGAGGGGGACCUUCGGGCCUCUUGCCAUCGGAUGUGCCCAGAUGGGAUUAGCUAGUAGGUGGGGUAACGGCUCACCUAGGCGACGAUCUCUAGCUGGUCUGAGAGGAUGACAAGCCACACUGGAACUGAGACACGGUCCAGACUCCUACGGGAGGCAGCAGUGGGGAAUAUUGCACAAUGGGCGCAAGCCUGAUACAGCCAUGCCGCGUGUAUGAAGAAGGCGUUCGGGUUGUAAAGUACUUUCAGCGGGGAGGAAGGGAGUAAAGUUAAUACCUUUACUCAUUGACGUUACCCGCAGAAGAAGCACCGGCUAACUCCGUG